UAGCUCAAUGGCAGAGUAUGUGCUUAGCACGCAUGAAGCCCUGGGUUCGAUUCCCAG
rnacentral:tRNA from 1 species